GCUGGUCUGCCCACUACAACUUGUCUUGAGUCCACACUCUUAUGUAGAAGAGACAUACAUAACUGCUGUUAUAGAACAGCUGGCAAGUGGAGUGGUGCAGAUAAGUCUGCACCACAUCAUGGGGAUCUUUAUGUAAACUGAGGUACCCAUGAAAAUCAGAAGAACAGUGACAAUCACUGCUAUUGGCCAGUUGUUAAAAGUCAGCCGGAUCUGGUACA